CAGCCUCCCUCAGCAGUGAGGUCUUCUCUGGCUUUUAUCAUCCAAGAUUACCCUGAUGCUGAUGACUUGACAAGAUCUGACAAGAUCACAGCACAGGGCAGUAUACCUGCAGAAAAUGCAUAUAUCAAAUUAACCCUCAGCCAGAAAGAAGCUAACAGACCUCACAGCUGAAUUUUAAAAUAUUCCAUUGGCUGAAGUUUUUUCUUUGCAAGAAACAUUGCUCUGUCUCCAUGAGAUGGUGACCCUGUUAUCUGCAAGGAAUCAUCAACUUGACAAAUCUUGACCUAGUGGUGACUGAACCUGUCAAGUCUCCUAUUUGCACUGUGGCAGCACAGGAUAUGGGCAUGAAGUCUUCAGCUGCUUGGAAAUUUUGGCUAUCAAGUAGCAUGAGCUACUAUAAACUCAAGCAUGAACAUUAA